ensembl:lncRNA
AAUAUGGAUUCCGGUCUUUGCCCCGCUCCUGACCACGACGCCUAAACCUCUGUAAUUUCCUGAGUGAUAAGGUGCCGGGAGCAUCUGCUGUCCUAAUGUUUGGACCUUGACCCCGGUUCCCGACCCAGAGCUCCUUGUAACAUCCUGGGCGAUAGGAGCAUCUUUUGUUCUGACGAAGUGACUCUUGGUGGGUCCUGGAGCUUCAGGAUAGGGACUGGCCUCCAGAAAGACCACACCUCGAUUAGCAGCUGGAACUUGCAGCCUCACCUCCUGUUCCCCAGGGAGGGGGAGGGGCUGGAAGUGGAGUUAAUGACUGAUCAUGCCUUUGUGAUGAAGCCUCCCGAAAACCCCGACAGUGCAGGGCCUGGAGGGUUCCGGGCUGGGGAACGCAUCCACCUGCUGGGAGGGUGGUGCCCUCAAGACCAAGGGGACAGAAACUCCUGUGUUCUGACCCUUCUGGACCUAAUCACGUCUUCAGACCUUUAUCACAUCCUUUACUGUGUAAUAAACCAAUAAACAUGUCAAUUCCCUGAGUUCUGAGACGAUCCAGCAAACUAUUGAACCCAAGGAGGGGUCAUGAGCCCCCUGUCUUGUAGCUGAUCAGGAGCACAGGUGACAACCUGGGACUUGCAACUCGCGUCUGAAGUGGGGGCAGUCCUGUGGGGCUGAGCCUUAUCCUGUGGGAUCUGACGCCAACUGCACUGGAUAGUGUCAGAACUGAACCGAAUCCUAGGACACCCUGCAGGUGCUGGAGAAUUGAUCGUGCGGGAAAACCCGGACAUGUGCUGCCAGAAGUGAUGCGGGAGAGUGAGGAAAGAAGUGAGUUUUCCUAGACGUGGGCUUGGCCACGGACAGUCAUCACAAGUACUUCCCAUUUCGUCUUUUUUUCUUCCUGGUUUUUCCUCCAAGUGAAAGAUUCCUAGGAAGAAGUGAGCUGCUUGAUUAGUGCAUGCUAGGCAAGGCUGGGAGAAUUCAUUCCCCAUGACUUAUGGGGAAGAGGAAGCCCCAUAGUCACCCUGAAAGGAGGCGAGGAAGCCGCACAGUUGUCAGGAGGUGAGGAAGCCCCAUAGUUGCACUGUAAGGAGGUGAGGAGGCUGCACAGUCACCCUGUCAGGAGGUGAGGAGGCUGCAUAGUCAUCUUGUCAGGAGGUGAGGAGGCCACACCGUCACACUGUCAGGAGGUGAGGAGGCUCCAGUUGUCCUGUCAGGAGGUGAGGACACCACACAGCCACCCUGUCAGGAGGUGAAGAGGCUGCAUAGUCAUCUUGUCAGGAGGUGAGGAAGCCACGCAGUUGUCUUGUCAGGAGGUGAGGAGGCCACACGGUCAUCCUGCCAGGAGGGGAGAAAGCCACACAGUUGUCUCGUCAGGAGGUGAGGAAGCCACACAGUCGUCCUUCCAGGAGGUGAGGAAGCCACACAGUUGUCUUGUCAGGAGGUGAGGAGGCCACACGGUCGUCCUUCCAGGAGGUGAGGAAGCCACACAGUUGUCUUGUCAGGAGGUGAGGAAGCCACACGGUCAUCCUGCCAGGAGGUGAGGAGGCCGCACAGUCGUCUUCUCAGGAGGUGAGGAGGCCACACGGUCAUCCUUCCAGGAGGUGAGGAGGCCUCACAGUCAUCCUGUCAGGAAGCGAGGAGGACGCACCGCUGUCCUGUCUGGAGAUGAGGAGGCUCCACAGUUACCCUGUCAAGAAGUGAGGAGACCACACAGUGGUGCUAUCAGGAGAAAGAGCCUGUGAAACACGAAUUUUAACAGCAAAGUUCGGUCAUCAGAUCUGUUCACCUUCAGCAAACUUUUCGGGUCUAAAGAACUCCUUCUUUAUGGGUCGGGAUCCAAACUGGACUGUUUCUGAGACCCCUGCUCAUUCCAAACCGACUCCAUGCAAGGCCCUUACAGAGACGCAUGUGGUGUAAAACGAGGAAACACAGACUUGAGGGAACAAAGUGAGGAGAAAACAGGAGUAGAAAAAUAAUGCCGCCAGGGAAGUAUCUUCAGAAUGAAGUUCUGCUGCUGGAUCCCCGUCCGCUCGCGAGAGCGGCCGCAAGUCUGUGGAGGGUCUGAGAUUUCUCACGUGCGUGAGGUGAGACGCACAGGACACCUGGGGUUUGAACUCUGUCAGCUGAGCUUUUCAUACAAGAGGCCUCGAGGGACGAGGUGACAACCCCCUGCUCUCCCUGGUGCUACUCCUAGUG